rnacentral:rRNA from 1 species
UACGUAGGGUGCGAGCGUUAAUCGGAAUUACUGGGCGUAAAGCGUGCGCAGGCGGUUUUGUAAGUCAGAUGUGAAAUCCCCGGGCUUAACCUGGGAACUGCGUUUGAAACUACAAGGCUAGAGUGUGGCAGAGGGGGGUGGAAUUCCACGUGUAGCAGUGAAAUGCGUAGAUAUGUGGAGGAACACCGAUGGCGAAGGCAGCCCCCUGGGAUGUGACUGACGCUCAUGUACGAAAGCGUGGGGAGCAAACAGG